rnacentral:rRNA from 1 species
AGGUAACCUGCCUUGUAGCGGGGGAUAACUAUUGGAAACGAUAGCUAAUACCGCAUAACAAUGGAUGACACAUGUCAUUUAUUUGAAAGGAGCAAUUGCUCCACUACAAGAUGGACCUGCGUUGUAUUAGCUAGUAGGUGAGGUAAUGGCUCACCUAGGCGACGAUACAUAGCCGACCUGAGAGGGUGAUCGGCCACACUGGGACUGAGACACGGCCCAGACUCCUACGGGAGGCAGCAUG